rnacentral:rRNA from 1 species
AACGGCUGGCGGCGUGCCUAAUACAUGCAAGUCGAACGGUCUUUUCUAUGGAAGCUUGCUUCCACUGAAAAGAUAGUGGCGAACGGGUGAGUAACACGUGGGUAACCUGCCCAUAAGAGGGGGAUAACAUCCGGAAACGGGUGCUAAUACCGCAUAGUUUUCUUGAUCGCAUGAUCGGGAAAGGAAAGACGGCCUUUGUGCUGUCGCUUAUGGAUGGACCCGCGGCGUAUUAGUUAGUUGGUGAGGUAACGGCUCACCAAGACGAUGAUACGUAGCCGACCUGAGAGGGUGAUCGGCCACAUUGGGACUGAGACGCGGCCCAAACUCCUACGGGAGGCAGCAGUAGGGAAUCUUCCGCAAUGGACGAAAGUCUGACGGAGCAACGCCGCGUGAGUGAAGAAAGGUUUUUCGGAUCGUAAAACUCUGUUGUCAGAGAAGAACAAGUUGGAGAGUAACUGCUCCAGCCUUGACGGUAUCUGACCAGAAAGCCACGGCUAACUACGUGCCAGCAGCCGC